CGAGGCGGAAGUCAUUAGACAUUUGGCUGUUAACCAAAAAUCAGCUUUUCUUAAGCCCUCCUCGA
rnacentral:tRNA from 1 species